UGGCGGCGUGGUUAAGACAUGCAAGUCGAACGAGAGAAUUGCUAGCUUGCUAAUAAUCCUCUAGUGGCGCACGGGUGAGUAACACGUGAGUAACCUGCCCCCGAGAGCGGGAUAGCCCUGGGAAACUGGGAUUAAUACCGCAUAGUAUCGAAAGAUUAAAGCAGCAAUGCGCUUGGGGAUGGGCUCGCGGCCUAUUAGUUAGUUGGUGAGGUAACGGCUCACCAAGGCGAUGACAGGUAGCCGGUCUGAGAGGAUGUCCGGCCACACUGGAACUGAGACACGGUCCAGACACCUACGGGUGGCAGCAGUCGAGAAUCAUUCACAAUGGGGGAAACCCUGAUGGUGCGACGCCGCGUGGGGGAAUGAAGGUCUUCGGAUUGUAAACCCCUGUCAUGUGGGAGCAAAUUAAAAAGAUAGUACCACAAGAGGAAGAGACGGCUAACUCUGUGCCAGCAGCCGCGGUAAUACAGAGGUCUCAAGCGUUGUUCGGAAUCACUGGGCGUAAAGCGUGCGUAGGCUGUUUCGUAAGUCGUGUGUGAAAGGCGCGGGCUCAACCCGCGGACGGCACAUGAUACUGCGAGACUAGAGUAAUGGAGGGGGAACCGGAAUUCACGGUGUAGCA
rnacentral:rRNA from 1 species